AUACGGAGGGUGCAAGCGUUAAUCGGAAUUACUGGGCGUAAAGCGCACGUAGGCUGUUGUGUAAGUCAGGGGUGAAAUCCCACGGCUCAACCGUGGAACUGCCUUUGAUACUGCACGACUUGAAUCCGGGAGAGGGUGGCGGAAUUCCAGGUGUAGGAGUGAAAUCCGUAGAUAUCUGGAGGGACACCAGUGGCGAAGGCGGCCACCUGGACCGGUAUUGACGCGGAGGUGCGAAAGCGUGGGGAGCAAACAGGAUUAGAUCCCCUGGUAGUCCACGCCGUAAACGAUGGAUGCUAGAUGUCGGGGGGUUGCCCUCGGUGUCGUAGUUAACGCGUUAAGCAUCCCGCCUGGGGAGUACGGUCGCAAGGCUGAAACUCAAAUGAAUUGACGGGG
rnacentral:rRNA from 1 species